AUUGAACGCUGGCGGCAGGCCUAACACAUGCAAGUCGAACGAGUGGCGGACGGGUGAGUAAUGUCUGGGAACCUGCCCGAUGGAGGGGGAUAACUACUGGAAACGGUAGCUAAUACCGCAUACCAUCGGAUCGGCCCAGAUGGGAUUAGCUAGUAGGUGGGGUAAUGGCUCACCAAGGCGACGAUCCCUAGCUGGUCUGAGAGGAUGACCAGCCACACUGGAACUGAGACACGGCCCAGACUCCUACGGGAGGCAGCAGUGGGGAAUAUUGGACAAUGGGCGCAAGCCUGAUACAGCCAUGCCGCGUGUAUGAAGAAGGCCUUCGGGUUGUAAAGUACUUUUAGCGAGGAAGCGUUACCCGCAGAAGAAGCACCGGCUAACUCCGUGCCAGCAGCCGCGGUAAUAC
rnacentral:rRNA from 1 species